rnacentral:rRNA from 1 species
AGUUUGAUCCUGGCUCAGAUUGAACGCUGGCGGCAUGCCUUGCACAUGCAAGUCGAACGGCAGCACGGGAGCAAUCCUGGUGGCGAGUGGCGAACGGGUGAGUAAUAUAUCGGAACGUGCCCAGUCGUGGGGGAUAACGCAGCGAAAGCUGUGCUAAUACCGCAUACGAUCUCUGGAUGAAAGCGGGGGACUCGCAAGAGCCUCGCGCGAUUGGAGCGGCCGAUAUCAGAUUAGCUAGUUGGUGGGGUAAAAGCCCACCAAGGCGACGAUCUGUAGCUGGUCUGAGAGGACGACCGGCCACACUGGGACUGAGAUACGGCCCAGACUCCUACGGGAGGCAGCAGUGGGGAAUAUUGCACAAUGGGCGCAAGCCUGAUGCAGCGACGCCGCGUGAGGGAUGACGGCCUUCGGGUUGUAAACCUCUUUCAAUAGGGACGAAGCGCAAGUGACGGUACCUAUAGAAGAAGCACCGGCCAACUACGUG